UACGUAGGGUGCAAGCGUUGUCCGGAAUUAUUGGGCGUAAAGAGCUCGUAGGCGGUCUGUCGCGUCGGAUGUGAAAAUCCAGGGCUCAACCCUGGACCUGCAUUCGAUACGGGCAGACUAAAGUUCGGUAGGGGAGACUGGAAUUCCUGGUGUAGCGGUGAAAUGCGCAGAUAUCAGGAGGAACACCGGUGGCGAAGGCGGGUCUCUGGGCCGAAACUGACGCUGAGGAGCGAAAGCGUGGGGAGCAAACAGG
rnacentral:rRNA from 1 species